CAAUAGCGUAUAUUUAAGUUGUUGCAGUUAAAAAGCUCGUAGUUGGAUUUCGGAUGGGAUUUGCCGGUCCGUCGUUACGAUGUGCACUGGCCAGUCCUAUCUUGUUGUCGGGGACUAGCUCCUUGGAUUCACUUCCUGGGACUAGGAGCUGACGAGGUUACUUUGAGUAAAUUAGAGUGUUCAAAGCAAGCCUACGCUCUGAAUACAUUAGCAUGGAAUAACACGAUAGGACUCUGGCUUAUCUUGUUGGUCUGUGAGACCAGAGUAAUGAUUAAGAGGGACAGUCGGGGACAUUCGUAUUUCAUUGUCAGAGGUGAAAUUCUUGGAUUUAUGAAAGACGAACUUCUGCGAAAGCAUUUGGCAAGGAUGUUUUCAUUAA
rnacentral:rRNA from 1 species